AUCCAUUUAUUCCUGCCACAGACUUCAGAAAAAUUGCUGCUUGUCUUCCCUCCCCCACGAGGCUGAGUCCCAGCACCCCAGAUUGUCGUGACUGCCUGGGAUUGGUGACAUCUCCAGUGAAAUGUGUUGGAGCAUCAAAACAGAGUGGGAGAAGCACAGCCUGGCUCUGGGAGCCAAAAAUAGUUUUCCUCUCACUUUGAAUUCUCUCAGUCUCACUUCCCCUGGCACAGGAGGAAAUGUGAUGGUGUUUACAGAGCAGAAGCACUAGGACUCAGGAGAUGUGGAAGGUGGCCCUGCUGCUCUACCUGCAACAGCUCUCCAUGGUUCUGACCUCCUGUCAGGAACACCUGCACUAAAAUCCCUCUGCCUUUUCCUGUGUGAUCCUAUAGUGUCUAACACAACCUCAGAGAUAACCCCAGUAAUGUAAUCCUGAGCUGACAUCGAUGCGGGCCAUCAGCAAUGUGGAAAUUUCCCUCUGUGAUGAGGGAUGUCAUGGCUGGCACAAGCUCCAGCACUCCAAGGGGGUGAGGUACAUUGUCAGUGUAUUUCAGGAUAAAUUGCAGCUGGUUGCUGGUAAUCCUUGUGGCAUAUCAGAUAGCAGCAUAGCUCGGCAAGGGUAAGCUGGAGAAACCCAAACAUCCUUCUGAGGAGGUAAUUAUUCCAUUGUGAAAAUGCCCCGGGAUAUUUUUAGUGGCCAAACCCCCUGUUUCCUGACAGAAACAUAAAAUAAUGAAGCAAGCUUCACAAGGAGAGACGCCUCAGACACCUGUAUUAGCUGGUGCUUUGCAGUCACGUCAGCGUUUAAUUCGCUGUGUGCAUCCCUGUACGGCAGAAUCCACACCUGCGUUUGGGGCACUGAGCGCUCUGCCAGCCUCUGCCUCGCACAAAACCCUCUCCAUAAACAAAUCUGCAAAUCCUGCUGGAUCAAGAAGAAUUUCACGGGAAUAUAGAGCUGCCUGCAACAAGAGGGACACCCUUGCCACACACACCGAGGUUAUCAAGGGAAACUUUCCUUAACAGGAGUCUCACAACCAGCGAAAAAGCC